rnacentral:lncRNA from 1 species
CACUCCGUUGUAGAGCUGAUCGCAGAGCUUGUCGAGAGAGGAAGUCUCAAUGGGCACGACAGAAUCUUUCACGAUGGCCACGUAAUUGUGUGGUGGUCUUCUUACUCUUGCCUCCACUGUUUGCUUAUGCUUCUCCUCUGAGCCCAUCUCUUUGGCUUCUUCCUGGAUCUCAGAUUCGGCUUCGGGUUCCAUGUCAGGAGGUGGCCAAUGUUGCUCCUGUUAAGGGUGGUUAAGGGUGGAGAGAGAGAGAGAGAGAGAGAAAGAGAGAGAGGGGAGCUACCCAGUUUUCUUUAUCUCAAAUUAUAUUGAUGGAACCGCUAUCAAUAGUUGUAAAAGUAAUCAUUCAAAAGUGAGGCCAUUUCUACGUGCUUUUCAAUAGAAAAUUCUCUGGGUACCCCUCUUAAUCAAGACUUGAAAUAUUCAUAAACUAAAUUCACAUAAUGAUCUGUACAUAUGCAAAGUCAUGCAUGCAUUGAAGAGAAGCCAUGAUGUUUGCCUUCAAUUCCACAAUGUUAAUAUGUAAGUUCACAAAUUCCUUUUUGGGAAUAAACAAACCUUCAUCCAAUUAUGUAUACAACCCAUUCCUUUCAAUGGUUAAAAGAAAACAAUAAAUGUCUAUGAUGAAAAGGGCCUUAUGGGACCCAAUGUGGAUCCAUGUGGCUCAUGUUCCACGCCUCUCCAAUUUUCUUUUCUCUUUCAACUUUUCCUUUUCCGGUUCUUUUCCUGGAAAAGACAAGCUUUGUACAGAGAUUGAUCGCAGGGGGAGGCAGGGAGGGAGGGAAAAGGAGAAGCGGAGGAACAUGAUAUAACGCAAAUGGAGUCUGCUCACUGGUCCCGCCGCCAUCCUCGGCGGCAUCGUGGCCACUGUGGUCGUCGCCAAUUACAUCUUCGUCAAACACACAAAUCCAAAUCUCUCUCUCUCUCUCUCUCUCUCUCUCUCUCUCUCCCGGCGUUUGAUCUCUUAUUGGUUUCUGCUUGUUUCGCUAGCUUGCCUUCUGCUUUCGACUUGCCCUCGUUAAAAAUUUCCGUUUUUUUCCACCUAUUUGAUAGACUUUUGGCGGAUUGCUUCGGGUGGGUGAGAGUCCUUUUUUUCCAUUGUUCAAUUGAUUGGACUGUGAUAGAAGUCUGGCCUUUUCAGAGUGGCCCAAUAAUCCAUCAGAUUUAGAACACAACAUUAAAGUUACAUUGGUUAAAAAAACAAAGAAGGUGCAUCGGUUGAGAUUCGAGCCAAUGCCCUCUUUUUUCUUGGUGGGGUUUGCUGUGUUGAAUGUAGUAAUUCGUGGACACUGAUAUGGAGCUCGAUUGAAUUAAGGACUGGUUUAGCUUUAGCUGCAGGCCGAGUGGCAGCAUUGAUUCUUCAACAGGUCCGUCAUCGGUUGUUUUUCGUUCUGGACCUUCACCAAUUUCCUCACUUCUAGCUGCUGGCAAUAACUAUGUACUCCCCACCGUGAACCUUGAUUAAGAUUUAGCGCUGCCUUGUACAAGCUAGAGCACCGAAACGGUCCUAUUCAUUAUGCCAUAGUCUAAUAUGUUUUCAUCGUCAAUAGUAUAAUAAUUAUGAGGUCAAAUCAGAUAGCCAACUUUUCAAAUGUCUAUCCUUGCAUAAGAUGAAUCCACUGGAACAUACGGAACCUAAAUGCUUCUAUCAUCCAGAAUCUUUCUCCAAUUCUGGGCUGUCCAAAAUAGAUCUUUGAGGCCUGGGAUGUUUAGAACUUACUUCUAAGACUCAAGGAUGAGAGGGUUGACCAUUGGGCUCAUUCUUAGCUCCCGCUUGAAUAAGUUUUCCAUACCAUCGAAUUUUUUUUUUCUUUCUAGUCACCUCCCAUAAGGUUACUAUGUUGCGAGUACCUGGCUUUCAAAACCUAACCCCCGACUUUGUUUUCAUCAACCAACAUCCCCCAACUGAGUUUACAUAGCAAACACGGCCAUGGUUUUUGAGCUAGGAACUGGGUUUUGGCCAUCUUAAAUUAAAACUUCUCGUUGAAGCUAGUGUUUUUAAAACCGAACCAGAAGGUUUUAGCCACAGCUUUGGCUUGAUUUCGAUCAGUUCAACCUGGUAUGGGGCAGCAAUCCGGCUCAAUCUCUGAUCUGGUUUAAGCAACGAAUGUGCUAAGUAAGCUAUAGUUCAAAUUAAGACACAAAACAGUCUUCAGACGGAUCCUCAACUGCUUUUCUUCCAGAAUACAAUCCUAGAUCUUAGCAUCUUUGUGUGUAAGAACUCCCUCGAUCAGAAUCAGCAAUUUUGUUUUAGAUCUCAACCAUCCAAUGUCCUGCAGCAUUUUAACUUAGUUACAUGACCAACAACAUAGCAAAUAAAGCAAAUAGAGGCAUUAUAAAGAUCCAGUUAUCAUUUGUAGGUCAUGGCAACAAGCAAAAAUUGAAUGAAAAAAAGUCAUCGUAAGAUAGCUAUUAAAACUAUUUCUACGUUGGAUGACACUACCUCGCGCAUCUCAUUCAUUCAUAGAACACGAUUCUUUUGAUGAAACAUUGCCCAGAAAAAAUUUCAAUGAUUAAUUACAAAAUAAUUUAAGAUGGUAUGGAGGUUCACCUUCCAACUCGAAGAAGCAUCAAGAGUUGAAUCAGCAUAAGCUUUUAAGGUUGAACCCUCAUCCUGCAAAUUGCAGGCAAAGGAAAAGGGGAGCGCAAGUGAGAGAGAUGUUAUGCCUAAUUUCCACAUUUAAAAAACUAUAAAAAUUUGAGAUAACUCUCUAGAAGUUACUUAGGCAGCGAAAAUGUCUUCAUUGGUCAACGAAUGACCAUACAUUUUCUGUUGCCUGACGUAAUCUGAACCCUUUGAUUCUUCGCCCCAAGAUACAACGGUAAAAAAUCAUGUUUUCUAAGCAAAUGUACUAUAUAAACAACUCCUCUAGACACAGAUAUAAUCAAAUGGAAGAGUUAUUGAAAAAAGAGCGCGAAUGAAUACAAUACUCUUUGCCCCCAAGGGCAGCUUUGCAUAAGAGAAGCACAGAGCUCAUGGACAAUGAUUUUUUUUUAGAAAAAUAUUUUCCAUUAAUGAAAAAAAAGUCUUCUAAAAUAGGGAAAUAUAUUUUCCCCUUUUCAAAUGGGGGAAAACGUUUUCUAUAUCUUUUUCUGCCUCACUUUCUUUCACUAUACACCUUUUCCUUUUAUUUUUCAUUUUUUUCAUUUUUUCUUUUCAAUUUUUUUUAAAUCAAGUUUUUAUUUUUUUUUAUUUUUUAAUUUUUCUUUCUUUUUCUUUUUCCUUUUUUUUUACCUUCUUCCUUUGCCAAUCACCAAUCAUGGCGGCGGCAACCUCAAGCAAGGCUCAAGCCUCGCGUAGCUCACCACUCUAGAGAGGCUUAAGCUUGCUUGACAGUCUUGAGAGAGCUCAAACCUCGACCGAUCCGGCAAGGCUCGAGCUCGCCUACGACUAGUCGGCUAUCAUUGCCAUGGCCAAGGAAGAGGGAGAAGAAAAGAAAGAAAUGAAAAAAGAGAAAAGGAAAAGAAAAAAUAAUUAAAAAAUCGAUUUAAAAAAAUAAAAAAUAAAUAUUGCAAAGGAGCACAUGGAGGAAAAGUUUUUUCUUACUGAAUAGCAGAAAAUAUUCUCUAAUUUAUUUUCAAAUUUCAGCCAAACACUAACAAAUAUUGUCGUUUUACUAAAAAAUGACUUUCUAAAAAACGUUAUAUUUUCCGCGAAAUGAAUAGAGCCUAAUUUCUCAAAGUCAUGGGCAUUAUCACAACUAACCCACCAUAACACAAGAUUCCUCGACACAUGUGUUUUCAAAUCUUAUCAGUGCAUAGAGUGCUUCCUUGACACUCUUGAUUUGUACAUGCCCCAGGCUUGUGCUUUCAGGAAAGACCGAUUUUCCACACAAAACAUUUAAAACCGGAGACAGACUUAUUUAUGGCAAAGAGCUCAAAUCUUUAAGCUGCACCAACUGAAUUUCAAGCCAAACGCAACGCCAAACGCAUUCAGUUCCAUCACACAGCUCAUUUCAUUAGCAUAAGCACAAAAAUUCAAAAAAUGCUUCGGAACAACUCCGAGAAUCAUCAUAGCUCGAGCUCUAACUUUUCCUCACUGUCCACCGUUACUCGAUCUGAUAUUCAAGAGCAGGAGCUACAGAUCAGCUCGGAACUCCAAUCAGUUACAGCUGAAAGCAAGCGAAGCAAGCGAAGCAAGCAAAGCGAGAAGAAUAUUCUCGGACGGAGAGAGAGACAGAGAGAAACUGACCAGAGAGGCGGUUCCUGACGGAGGAUUGAUCGGAAUGCGGAGACUGAAGCGAGAUUGGCUGGGCGAGGAAGCAAGAGCAGCGGAUGAUGAUCGCCAUCUCCUUCUCCUUCUCCUUCGUCUGCUUCAAGAGAUAAACCGUUUGAAAGUUUCAUUCUUUUCAAUGGGCUUUUUUGUGGGCGGGUCUGAGGGUCCGUUUAGUAACGCUCCUGGGAACAGGUAUUUCUCCUUUUUUGUUCCCGGAAGUAGAAAUAUAAUAAAAAUAUGUUUGAUAAGUUUUUUAUUUCCAAGGAUAAAUUUGUUCUUAGGAACAGAUCUGGAACAGAAACAGGAAAGAAAAAAAGUUGCUUGUUAUUUUCGGGAACAACUCAAGAAACACGAAUUAAAAAUCAAGUUUUUUUUUCCUUCUCUUUUUUUUGCCUUUUUUUUUUCUUUCCCUUCCUUCCUUCCUCUCCUAGCUGGCCAGUGUGAGGCCCAGUGACCUCGUCGGAGCCUCGCUGGCCUGAUGAGGUUUCCCCAAGCUCGCUGACCAACGGCAAGGCUCGACCUCGCUUAGAUCUGGUAUGGCCAAGCUUUGUGUGGCCACCGCAAGCCUCGUUGGUGGCUGGCCUUGCCCAAAUCUGGCAUGGCUGAGCCUUACCUAGCUCCGCGAGGCCCGGCCUCGCCUUGCACCUCGCCUAGCCAGCCUCGCCUAGUCACGGUGAGGCUCGGGGUGACCUCGUCAGUGGCCAGUGAGCCUCCCCCAAGGCCAACCUUGCCGGCCUUGCCAAUGACCGGCUAGAGGAAUGAGAAGAAAAAAAAAAGAAAAGAAAAAUGUAAUAAAAUUAUUAAUAAAUUAAAAGAAAUUCUAAAUCAUAAAAAUAUAUUGGGUCAUAUUAAAUGCAUUUCUCUUCCAAGAACAUAAAUUUUGUAAUGUUACCAAACGCGUUCAAAUACUCAGAAACUGAUCUCGGGAAUAGAAACAAAAAAAUGUUUCUGAAAAAUAAAAAUUCCCCAGAACGAAAACGUUAUCAAAUGCACUUUUAAUGCACUAUAACUUUUUUGACCUCCCUUGCUCAAAAAAAUUACGAGGAUGUGCCACGGAAUGACGAGGAGUUAUCUGACAGACGAGGGCCUACGUCCUCAUCCCUGGGCGGUCCAAUCAGUGGAGAGGGAAAUCGUUAGUCACCUUUUUUUUUAUAUAUAAAGUAAAUAUUAUAUGCGGCUCAAUUACUCUAAUAAAAAAAAAAAAAAAAAGGAAAUGUUGCCAAGGUAUAUGAUCAACACACUUCGUCCAGAAGGAAAUGGUGAAAAUUCCAAAACACUAUUUUUCAGGCUAAAUUAACAAGAAGAUAAAUUAUAAGAAUCAUUAAAUGAAAAGAACCAUAAGUUUAAUAAGUUUAAACGAUAACCUAAAAAAGAAAGAAAGGACCAAAAAUAAGCACACUAACAAAAACCAUUUAUAGGACCUGUUAUCAUGGUAAUAUCAGUUUGAUGUCACGUACCAACCUAAGAGCAGGUAAAUUUCGCGCGAGAUUGAGUUAUAUAAUUUUUCUCUCUCUAAAAUUCAAGAUUAUUUGAUCAUAAACAUAUGCAGCUUAGUUAGAUCUAAGCUACCGAAUGCAAAUUCUCAAGUUAAUUGCACUUUCAGCUAGUCACAGAAAAUGGCCCUAGAAUCCUUAAUUUUGUCCAUUAGAUGAAAGGACCGGUCUCAUACAAAAGCUAUAGGCUUUAGGAGUUCGUGCCGUAAAAAAUGUCACUUAAGCGUUGAAACUUUCAAUUGACUACUUAAAAAUCAUAACUUUUUAAAAAUGUUCAUUCAUAUGGAGAAAAUUUGACAUGGCUAAGCAAUUGUGGAAAACGUUUUUAAAAAGUUAUGAUACUCAAAUAAUCGAUUAAAAAGUUAUAUGACACUCAAGUGAUUAGGAGAAAAAUUAUAAUUCUCAAAUGAGUAUAUACAUAAAUUAUGACACUUGUGGUGUUUUCUUUUUCCAAAAAAAAAAAUCAGAUAAAUGGAAAUGUGUUUGGACUUAAUGAAAACAAAAUGAGGCACUAAGAUAUUUUUAAUCAUUUGUUGACAUUGUGGCGAUCCCUUUUAAUAUUUUCAAUACAUUUUAUUUGGCUAAUAUUACUAUUCUAAAACAUAGUUUAACAGCAGCAACAAGUUCAUGGUAUAGGACGCAUCACACACUAAAGUACAUCUCAUCCAAAUGAUACUAGAAUUUUAAUUAAUAUCUCUUGCUUAUUUUAAGUUAAUAUCAAUUUUUUUUCUCUAGGGAUGUCAAAAUAUGAGGUCUCUAGUGAUUCACUGUCGUGACAUGAAUACCUAUAAAACAUAUUAAAUAUUGUAUGCACUUAUAUAUUGAUUUAAUAAAUAUGUUAUAUAUCACAUUUUCUUUCUACGGGAUAAUAAAUCUAUAUGGUGAGGUAUGUAUACACAUCAAAUAAAUUUUUCCUUGAACUCUAGCGGAAUUCCAUUGAUGUGGAUAUUUAUUUUGUUAUAAUUUUUUGCAUAUUAGUUCUUUGGUGAAAAUUUAGGUUGAAAACAACAUUUAAAAUAAUAUGGGUGCAUUCAUUUUGCAGCAAAAGAGCGAUUUGGAAAAUAUUUUCUGAAAAAUAGUCAAUUGUAUCACUUAGAAAAAUAAAUAUAUUAAAAAAAAUUUCAUAUGAAAAUAGUCAAGCAUAGAUUGUUAAUAAUGAUAAAAAAAAUUUCGUUGACUAAAUUUUCUAAAUAAUAUAAAUAAUCAUAUUUUGAAAAAUAUUUUUCAAAUCGCUUAUAUUUUACGAAACGAAUAUUCCUAAUAAAUAUAAUUUCAAAUUCGUGCAAUGCAUGAGCAUCUUGUUUGUUUGUAAUAUUUAUGCCUGAAGAACAUCCAUUCUCGUGUGGGAAUUCACAACGAGCAUUCAACUGCGUAAACUAAAUUCUCAAAGCCACCAUAACACAAGAUUCUUCGACACAAGUGUUUUCAAGUCCUAUUAAUGCAUACAGUGCUUCCUCGACACUCUUGAUUUGUACAAGCCCCAGGCUUGUGCUUUCAGGAAAGAUUUAUUUUCCCACUCAAACAACUCCAAAUCGCACACAAAACAUGUACAACAGAACACAGACUUACUUAUGGCUAAAAGCUCAAAUCUUUAAGCUACACCAACUGAAUUUCGAGCGAAAUCGAACCCGGCGCAAUGCCAAACGCAUUCAUUUCCAUCACACACCUAUUACAGCAGCACAAGCGCAAAAUUUUAAGAAAUGCUCCGGAACAACUCCAAGAAUCAUAGCUCAAGCCCUAAAUUUUCCUCAAGGUCCACUGUUACUCGGCCGAUAUUCAAGAGCAGGAGCUACAGAUCAGCUCCGAACUCUAAUCAGUUACAGCUGAAGAGAGAGAAACUGACCGGAGAGGCGGUUCCUAAAGGAGGACUGAUCAGAAUGUGGAGCCUGCGGCGAGAUUGACCGGGCGAAGAAGCAAGAGCAGCGGACAACGAUCGCCAUCUCCUUCGUCUGCUUCGUCUACUUCAAGAGAUAAAGGGUGCGAAUGGUAACGUUUCUGUUCUUUUUUUGUUCCAGGGAAUAUAAACAAAAAAAAGUGUUUUUAUUCUGGAGAACAAUUUUUGAACAAAAGAACGCGUUUGGUAACGUUUGGUCCGGGAAUAAAAAAUGAAUAGAAACACGUUUGGUAAAUUUUAUUCUUUUUUUGUUUCUUUUAAUUUUUUAAACAUUUUUAUUUUAUUUUUCAUUUUUUCCUUUCUUUUUAUUUUUUCUUUUUUUGGCCGGUCACCGGCCUCCGGCGACCAGCUGACGGGGCCGGCAGCCUCGCCUAGCCACGGCGAGGCUCGGCCUUGCCUUGGCUGGGCGAGCUCGGCCUCGCCGGGGGCCGGCGACGCUCGGCCUCGCCCGCGCCGGCGACGUCGAGCCUCACCUUGGCUGGGCGAGCUCGGCCUCACCCAAAUCCGGCGAGGCCGAGCCUCGACGGCCGAUCGCCAUCCAUGGCCGAGGCCGGUGACCGGUGAAAGAAAAAAGAAGAAAAAGAAGAAAAGAAUAAGAGAAGAAGAAGAGAGAGAGAGAAACGUUUCUUUCAUUUUUUGUUUUUGGAACAAGCAACAACAAUUUGUUGUUUCUUGUUUUUGUUCUUAUUUUGUUCCGGGAACAAAAAAACAAAAAAAGAACAAAAAUGCAACCAAACGCGUUUCUGUUCUUUUUUUGUUCCCGGGAACAAAAUCCGUACAGAAGUGUUCCGGAAACGUUUCUUAGAAACGUAGAAACGUUUCCAUGCACGCCCAAAGCGUUUGAUAGUUUCAGACUUUCAGUGGGCUUUUUGUGCGCGGCCGUAUAAGCUUUUCGACCUCCGUUGUUCGGUAAAUUACGAGGAUGUACCACUGGAUGGCGAGGAGUUAUCUGAUGGAUGAGGGCCUACCUCCUCAUCGCUGGGCGGUCCAAUCAGUGGAGAGGGAAAUCGCGAGUCACCUUUUCUUUUUACUAUUUUUUUUUAUAUUAUAUGCGGCUCAAUCAGUCUAAUUAAAAAAAGAAAGGAAAAGUUGCCAGUGUAUGUUAUCAUCCAUAUGAUCAACAUACACUUCGUCGAGAGAGAAAUGGCCAAAAUUCCAAAACACCAUUUUUUUCAGGCUAAAUUAACAAGAAGAUAAAUUAUAAGAAUCAUUAAACAGAAAGAAUCAUCAGUUUAAAACGGCAACCUAAAAGAAAGGACCAAAAGAGGUACAUUGAGAAUAACUAUUUAUAGGACUCAUUACCACGGUAAUAUCAGCAUGAUGUCACAUAUCAACCUAAGAUCUGGUAAAUUUCACAUGAGAUUGAGUUACAAAAUUUAUCUCUCUCUAAAAUUCAAGAUUAUUUGGUCAUAAACAUAUAUCGAACACCUAGUUGCACUUUCAGCUAGUCAUGGGAAAUGGUCCUAGGAUCCUUAAUUUUGUCCAUUAGAUGAAAGGACUAGUCUCAUACAAUAACUAUAGGCUUGAGGAUCUUGUGCCAUAAACAAUGUUACUUGAAUGUUGAAACUUUCAAUUGACCACUUAAAAGUCAUAACUUUUUAAAAAGGAAUAAAUUCAUUAAAAGUCCUAAAACUUAUCACAAAAGUAUAAUUGAGUCAUAAAGUUAUCAUUGUCAAUUUAUUUAAUGAACAAUGCUAACGUGGUAUUUUAAAAUUAAUUUCUCACUCCUAGUUGGCUUUUUUUUUAUUGUUUCUUUUUUUAAAUCUUAUUUAAAUCAAAUUAAGAAAAAAAAAAAACUACAAAAAAGCUAACAUCUUAUUUAUAAAAAAAAAAAAAAAGAAACUUGGAAAAAAAAAAGAAGAAGAAGAGGAGAAGGGCAAGGUAGGCCAUGCCAGUAGGCACCGUCGCUGCCACCCAUCACUGGAGGGGCUAGUGACAACAUUUCAUUUGACAAAACAAAAUCUUGAUAAAAAAAAAAAAAAAAAGAAGAGAAGAGAAGGAUAGGGUAAGGCAGGCCACGCCGAUAAGUGCCGCUGUUGGUGCCCAUCGUGUGAAGGGCUGAUGAAUGUCACCUGCCCUGGCCAACUUCAAGCGAGGCCUCGCUAGCCCUAGGAGAGGGUAGGCAACACUUGCCACCCUGGAUGAGGCCUCGCUAGCCCUAGGUGAAGGUAGGUGACCCUCACCAACUCAAGCGAGUGUUGGCGUCACCCAAAUCUAAGUACCCAAGUGCAAGCCCAAGCCUAGCGAGGGUCGCCGACCCUCACCUGGGGCCAAUGAGGGUCAACCACCCUCGCCCAAGGCCAAUAGAGGUUGCUAGCCCCUCUGGUGAUGAGUGGCAUCAGCGAGGGCACCUACCGACAUGACAUACACUGCCCUUCUCUUCUCUCUCCCUCUUUUUUUUUAAAAUAGUUUUUUAAUAAAAUUCUAGCUUUUUUCAAUUUAAUUUAAAUAAGAUAUUAAAAAGAAAACAAUAAAAAAAAUGCCAACUAGGAGAGAAAUUAAUUUAAAAUUGCCACAUCGGUAUUUGCUGUUAAAUAAAUUGACAGUGUUAACUUUAUGACUUAAUUGCACCCAUUGUACAAGUUUCAGGACUUAGUUGUACUUUUUGCAAGUUUUAAAAUUCAAUUGUAUUUUCAUAAUGAGUUUUAGAAUUUCUGGUAAAUUUAUCCCUUUUAAAAAUGUUUAUUCUAAUGUGGCCAAGUACUUGUGGAAAACAUUUUAAAAAAGUUAUGAUACUCAAGUGAUCAAUUGAGACGUUAUAUAACACUCAAGUGAUUGGAAAAAAGAAAUUAUGAUUCUCGAAUUAGCGUCAUAUGAAAAUUAUGCCACUUGUGGUGUUUUCUUUUUCCAAAAGAAAAAAAAAUAGAUAAAUGGAAAUGUGUUUGGACUUAAUGAAAAAAAAAUGAGGCACUAAGAUAUUUUUAAUCGUUUGUUGACAUUGUGGCGAUCCUUUUUAAUAUUUUCAAUGCAUUUUAUUUGGCUAACUACUCUAAAACAUAUUUUAACAGCAGCAACAAGUUCAUGGUAUAGUCCGCAUCACACACUAAAGUACAUCUCAUCCAAAUGAUACUAGAAUUUUAAUUAAUAUCUCUUGCUUAUUUUAAGUUAAUAUCAAUUUUUUUUUCUCUAGAGAUGUCAAAAUAUGGGGUCACUAGUGAUUUGCUAUUGUGACGUGAAUACCUAUAAAACAUAUUAAAUAUUGUAUGUACUUUAUAUGGUGAUUUAAUAAAUAUGACAAUUUAUAUACCACAUUAUCUUUUUACUGGAGAAUAAAUCCAUAUGGUGAGGUAUGGAUACACAUCAAAUAAAAUUUGCUGUGAACUCUAGCGUAGAAUUCUACCAAUGUGAAUAUUUAUUAUUAUAAUUUCUUGCAUAUCAAUUCUUUCGUGAAAAUUUAGGUCAACAACGAUAUUUAUAUAUAUAGUGUGCUUGUUUCAUGGAAAAUAAAUAAUUUGAAAAAUAUUUUUCGAAAAAUAAUCAUUUGUAUUGUUUAUAAAUAUAAAUGAAUUGAAAAUUUUUCAUCGUGCACUAAAAUAGUUAGGCAUAAAUUAUUAUCGAUAAUGAAAAGUAAUAUAAAUAGUUAUUUUAAAAAUAUAUAUUUUUUAAAAACUUAUUUUUUGUGAAAUAAAUGUACUGUAAAUAUUAUUUCAAAUUCGUGUAAUGCCUAAGCAUCUUGUUUGUCCGUAAUAUUUGUGAACAAAUAAAGGUCGACCGAUGACGUUUGAUUGGUGACGCCACGAUACUCAUUGGAUAGCAUAGGCUUUCUUCGUCAAAAUAGCCGGGCAGAGUCUUCCGAUCCACCUUUCUUGUACUCUUGAUCACUAAAAGCUCCUUUUCCUCUGUGAAAGAAACAAGAGAGGAAAAAGAGCCCUCCCUCAAAGCUUUGACGCCCAUUUCCAUUUCUUGAUUCUGCUUCUCAUCUGCGAGAGAGAGAGAGAGAGGAAAUCUGUCAUGGCUACUGAAGUAGCUGCUUUCUUGCUCAAAGAGAAGCUGCAGAAUCUCAGAGCUGACCAAACCAUAAUCUACCCAAAACUGAAGGGCAGGAUCAGCACUGCCAUCAACAAUCUGCAGCAGCUCUUGACCUUCGGUAAAGACACGGCAGAGGACCAAGUAAGCGAGAAGACCAAACUCUUGUCUACCAUCUACAGUGCAGAGGACACCAUUGAUACCUACCUCCUGAGAAGAGCCCAGCAGAAGCUCAAUUGGAGCCAGAAGGAAGUGAGCAAAGGGUUGAAGAAGUUCAACGGUGAGCUCAUGCGCUUGUCCUUUUUCUCUUCACUUAACAAAGAUCAGCCUCAACCUCAACCACUUCAAAGCGAAGUUCUGGGAAAUGUUGGCAGUGCCACCUCUCCUAAAGGAGGAAGCACCCGCCGUUGGGAAAGGAUCUCUCAUCUUCUUGACAUGGAAUCAGAGGCUGUGGUUCGGAAGCAGGACAUGGAAGAGCUUGUGAAGGACUUGAUUCCUCUGCCUCAGGAAGAACAAGAAUUGAGGGUUCUUCCUGUGGUUGGCCCGGGAGGCUCAGGCAAGACGACGAUGGUGAGAUUGAUUUGUGACAGGGUCGACGUCAAGCAGCACUUCGAGUGCCGCGCCUGGGUCUGCGUGUCCACGGACUUCAAGUUCAGAGAUGUGGUGGUUGACCUGAUAAGGCAGGUCUCCAUAACCCAGUCGAGUGGGAUAGACCGUAUGGGGGAUGACAUCUUGGCUGAGAUGCUUCUCAAGGCUUUGAUGGAGAAGAGGUAUUUGAUUGUGUUGGAUGAUGUUUGGAAAGUUGAGGAUUGGCACAAGCUGACGAUCUCCUUACCAGAUUUGCAAAACGGAAGCAGAGUGAUUGUCACUACUCCUUUUGAGGAAGUAGCUAAAUCGGCUGAUCUGUGGGGCAAUCCGUUACAGCUGCACCGGAUAUGCGAUUUCGAAAGAUGGGAAUUGUUGAAGAAGCAAGUUGGUAAACGUGAGGCGGAAUUGGGCAAAUUUAAGGGCGAGAUCAUGGCAAAGUGCCAUUAUCCUCUGGACAUAGUUAUAGUGGGUGGGAUUUUAUCAGCCACAGAGUCCAGCGACUGGCCUAGAAUAAUUGCCAAGCUUCCUUCUCCUGGUGAAGGCCGGUCGACAUCGUUGGACAUCGUGUCUUUGAGCUUCCAUGAGUUGCUGCCACGGUUGAAGGUAUGCUUUUUGUAUCUCGGUCUCUUUCCGAAAGCAUUAGAGGUCCCCGUUCGGAGAUUGUUGUGGUUGUGGCUUUCGGAGGGUUUCUUGAGUCCAACGCCUGCCGAGCGAGAAAAGAAGCUUGAACCUGAAGAUCUAGCCGACAUGUGCUUCGAAAUGCUGGUCCGGCAGAGAUUGAUCGAAGUAACAAAAUGGAAGUUGGAUGGAACCCCGAAAACAUGUCACAUGUCGGGCGUCAUACAUGAUUUCUCCUCUCUAAGGUCAGUGGGUUCAGGUCUUUAUUACAUUCAUGAUAAUAAAAGCGGACCUCCGGAAAGUUACAAGAUUCGACGGCUCGUGGAGUAUUUGGAAAUUGAGGAGAUUUCCAACAAUUACGUCGAUGAAAAUCUACGGUCUUUUGUGGUUUUCAACAACAAACGCAGAGGUAAGGCCAACAGAGAAAUCGGUACAUUUUUGAAGGCCUUGGUCCAUAAAAAGGGGUUUGCAUUGCUAAAGGUCCUUGAUCUAGAGGGAGUCUACAAACCUAUGCUUUCCGAGGUAGUAGGCAAUUUGCUUCUUUUAAGGUUUCUAGGCUUGAGAUCGACAGUACUAGAUUCAAUACCAUCGGCUGUCGGAGAGCUACCAUGCCUAGAAACUCUGGAUCUGAAGCACACUAGCGUGACCACCUUACCCGACUCAAUUUGGAAGGCGAAGAACCUCAGGCAUCUGUACCUGAACGAGGUUCACAUUGACGCAUUCUUCCAGAAGCUGACUAAAGGGUCUCUAAGCAGUCUGCAGACACUCAGGGGGCUGCAUGUAGGUAAUGAAAGGGUCGUGACCAGAGGUUUGGAUAGACUGGUUAACCUCAGGAAAUUGGGAGUGAUGUGUCAUGAAAAGUCAGUGAAGGCUGUGUUAAAUUGGGUUCGGCUACUACCUAAUCUUCACUCUCUGAAGUUGAGGUCAAUUGAUGAAUUUGGUAAGUCAUCAAAAAUUGAGUUAGUGUCCCUGGAGAAACAGACCAAGCUCUGCAACUUAUACUUGCUCGGGAAACUAGUGAAUCCAGUGAAUCCAGUAAGCCUGAGCGGGGUACUCCCAUCGUGCCUCAGGAAACUUACAUUGUCGAUGUUAGCACUGGACGAAGAUCCCAUGCCAAUGCUGGGCAAGUUGCCUGAGCUAAUCAUCCUCAGACUCUUUGCUGAUUCAUAUUUGGGAAGUGAAAUGACUUGUGAUGACGGGGGAUUUCCGAAACUCAGGGUGUUGAAGCUGUGGAUGCUCGACAAACUGAUGAAUUGGACAGUGAAGGAAGGGACAAUGCCCAUCUUGCAAGAAGUAGAAAUUAGAGGGUGUGAUCAAUUGAGCAUUGAUGGAAUCGAGCACUUGCAGAGCUUGAAGGAGCUUAUCCUGACUAGUAUGCCAGAGGAAUUCACAGAAACAAUCAAAAGAGGAAUAGAAAGAAAAUUGUACAUCAAAGUAAAUUGUUGGAAGCUUUCUCGUCAUCAGGUAGGUCUUUGUUGCCCUCAUGUUCAAUUUUAUCACUAGCUUUUCGCUUUGGAACUCAGAUUCUUGUCACUGUUCCAUCUGGUUAAACAGUUGAACUGCAAUGAAAGUGUCAUGGAGAUUUGGCUAUUGCUGCUUCUCUUAGUUUGUUAAUCCUAGCUUUCAUCAUGUAUCUACAAUCUUGUGGCUCAGUAGUUGAUCCCUCCCUAGAUCGAAUUAGAUGAUUUCGUCCAGAGUUUGCUCUGAUCUGUCUUAUAAAUUUAAGUCGUGCUCAUGGCGUUGAAUUUUUUUUGCGAGUGUCAAGUUAUUUUGCAUUGAUAUGUACUCACUUUUCUGUGAUUGACCUUUGUAGGCAAAUUAGGUGCACGCUGAAGAUGAAGAUGAUGAUGAGGAUGACAGCAAACUAGGUCGAAGAAGAAGAGGACAGUGAAGAAGAGAUGGAGAUGGAUAAGAAGAUGACGACAAAACGUGUUGAUCAGAGGUGAACGAAACAAAAUUGAGUUUGUUGUUUGAAUCUGUUUUGUUGCUUUUUAAAGGCUUUUCCAUGUAAAAUUUGCAUGUCUUAUUUUCUUCUUCUUUUUUCUCAUGAAAGUUUCUCGUUCCUAAUGGCAAGAGUGUGGAUUGAGUGCCGAGUGACCUGAGCGUGCCGUGGUGAGUUUGAGAGUGAAUUCUAUAGAGUGUGCUGAAUUAAGAGUGUGUCAAUGUACUUGAGAUUAUUAUUGUAAUAAAAUUUGAGUUACACAUGCACAAGAUUCAUCCAUUAAAAUACUGAAUCUUAGCAUGACGGCAACUGUUUGAAAUGUUAUCAUAAUUGUUUACUAUUCAAGCAUGGCCAAAACUCAAGCGAGAAACAUAAAGAAAAAUGGAAGGCAGUCCAUGGGGAGGAGAAAAUAGGGCGGCGCUCUUUCCAUUACUAUUUUUGCUUUCACACUCUUUAAUGAAGCGUCAUUAUCAUAUUACCCCUUUGUUUCCCAAUUUUUUAGCAUAUUUUGAUUCCCUCUCUUGUUUUUGUUCGGGUCUAAUGUGCUGCAUGAUUGCUUCCUUUUCUUCUCUUGUGCGUCCGACGUUCUGCCUUUUUCUUCUUUCCUUUCUCUCUCCCUUCUUGCAAUUAUGGAUGUAGGGGAAAAGAAACAGAAGGAAUAGGAGAAUGAGCAAGGCAAAGCUCAAAGGGUCGUUAGAUUUUAGGAAAAAAUAGCAGGAGUAUAAGACCAUGGACUAGCGAGAUGGUCCGAUUUGAUUUAAUGAAAUCGGUCACUUAGCAAUUCCGCCUUUAAAUUUUAGCAUUCUGAAGGUAAAUCUUUCCUCCAAAAAAUAGCACAUAAUGGACCAAGAAUUUUUUUUUUCCAAAAAAUAAAAUACUAAACUUGUCGCUAUUUUUAAGAAAUUAAAAAAUAUUAAAAAAUGUAGUCGGUCCGGUUUAGUAUGAUCCCCCCUCCCCCUCAUAGAAGUGGAUCGAAAAUCACUAAGAAACCACCUAGAAUCAGCUCAUCUGGUUCUAUUCACGUGUGUCCAAUUCUUUGAAUUGCCCAUUAAAGAAAAAGAAUAAAUGUUAAUAGUGAAAAGAACAAUAAUUUUUAAAAAUAAAAAAUAAAAAUAACAUUUUUGUUUUAUUUUCCUCUUUUCCUUUUCCUGGAAAAUCAAGCUUUGUCAACAGAUUGAUCGCAGAGAGAGGGAGGUGGAAGGAGAAGCAGGAAAAGAUGACAUACUGCAAGUAGAGUCUGCUCACUGGUCCAGCCGCCUUACUCGGUGGCAUCGUGGCCACCGUGGUCGUCGCCAAUUACAUCUUCGUCAGAGACGUGAAUUCAUAUCUGUCUCCUCCUUAAUUCCAUUCUCCCUCUCUGUUCGAUUCCUUAUCGGCUUCUGCUUGUUUCAUGAGCUUGCCUUCUGCUUUCGACUUGCCUUUGGUACAAAUUCUGGGUUUUUUCACUUACUUGAUAUAUUUUUGGGGGAUUGCAUGUGUAGGUUGCAUCAAAUUCGGAUCAAUGAUUGGAUUAUGUUAGAUUUCUGGGCUUUCUGGAGCACCCAAGUAACCCAUCCGGAUCGGGACCUCAACAGUUCCCCGGUCCACCACAAUCUGAUCAUUAUGGAGACAAAAGCCCCCGGCCACCCGAGCUGCCUCAAGAAACUUGUAUUCUUUGAGACUCGAGCCCAGCCCACUUUUGUAGGGUGCCGUCCGGUACUACUCCGCUUGCCGGGUUUGCUGUGUUGGACGGAGUAAUUCGUGGAAUAUAGAGCUGAAUUGCAUUACAGAUUGGUUUUGCUGAAUUGCAUUGAUGCUGCAACAGGUCUGUCGUGGGCCAUCGUGGGCUGUCAUUCGACCUGAAUCUUCACCAAUUUCCUCACUUCCAGCUGCAGGCAAUAACAGCCCACCCCUCUUGUUGCAUCGGCUAAUCAGGCUCGCCACUGUAAAUCCUGCUUAAGAUAUGGCGCUGCCUCGUACAAGCUAGGGUACCGAAAGGAUCUUGUUCGUUAUGCCAUGGUGAAGUAUAUAUACAUCACCAAUGGUACAAUAAAUAGAAUCAGACGAUCACCUUUUCGAAUGUUUAUCCAAGCGUAAGAUGAAACCACCCGAAAAUACAGAACCCAAAUACUUCUAUCAUCCAGAAUCUUUCUCCAAGCCUGUGUGUAUUGGUGGGAUCAUCUGUCUCUGAGAGAUUCUGGGCUGUCGAAAAUAGAUCUUUGAGAUCUGCGAUGUUUGGAAUUUUUGCUUAAGACUCAAAGGGUAAGGGCCUUUGCCACUGGGCUCAUCCUUCGCUCCAGCUACAUUAAGUUUUCUAUACCAUUGAAUUAGUUUCCUUUCUUGUCACCUCUCAUACCGUUGAAUGGACAAUUUUUCAUCAUAAGUUUAUUCAUUUAUUAGCUUAUUAAACACUAGUUGUGAUCUUCGACCGAAAGAAAAAAACACGACUGUUAUGAUCUCUUGAUAAAAAAAAAUAAUGGUUACGGUAAUGAGUAGUUAUGAUCAUGAGUGAUGCUACGUGUACUAAGAAUUCACUAAGAAAUUUUUACUAGAUGAUGUGGUAAUUCAUGUGGCUUAUGCCAUGUCAUUGAGUAUGUGUUUAAUGAGCAAUACACACACACAAAAACAAGGAAAGACAAUACAAAUUGGGCAAGAUUAGAAAAUAUUUCUUUUUAGCAUGUCUUUGUUAUACAGAAAAUAAAUGAUUUGAAAAAUAUUUUCCCAAAAAUAACCGAUUGUAUUGCUUACAAAAAUGAAUGAAUAAAAAAUAUUUUCACCGUAUAUUGUUGUCACUAAUGAAAAUAUUUUUAUUUGACUAAUUAUUUCAAGCAGUAUAGGCGAUCAUUUUUAAGAAAAUAUUUUUCAAAUCAUUGAUUUUCUACAAAACAAACGAAGUCUUCUACUUCCCAUUUCUACCAAGUUUAAGGAAACUAAAUAACUUUCCAAGCUACACUUUAUUUUACUAGUAGAAUUAAAGGUGAACUAUAUAUGAUUAACUUGUAUCAAAUGAAUGUAUCUUCUGUACAAAUCUAGUAUAAUUGGGAAAACCUGUCUAAAUCCUUAGGACAGAGGGCGCCCAUGGCACGAGGAUAACUAUUAAAAUUAGUCCAAGCGUUCUUAUUGUUAACUUUACCUUCUUCAUAGAGAUACGCUUAUAUUGAAAAUUUAUCUUUGUCAAAUCUGAGCUAAACUGCAUAAAUGAUCUUAAUAAAAUUUCUAUUUGAGAUGAGAAAAAUAUCUGACAUUAUUGCUGACGUUAGGAUAACUCAACUAGAUAUUCUUGGAGGCCUUGGAUUGUCGAAGGUUCAUGGCUUAGAAGGUGUGGACAAGCCCGUGCUUCCUGAGUCGAUGCGUAAUAUGCUGCUUCUACGGUUCGUAGGCUUGAGGUCAACUGCACUGGAUUCAAUCCCGUCUGCCAUUGGAUAUCUACCAUGCUUGGAAACUUUGGAUCUGAAGCACACUAAUGUCACCUCUAUCCCAAGUUCCACUUGGAAGGCGAAGAACCUCCGGCAUUUCUACAUGAACGAGGUACCCAUUGAUGCGUUUUUCCAUAAGCCAUCGAAAGGGUCUCUGACCAACCUCCAUACACUGAGGGGGCUCUACGGAGGUGACAAAAAGGCCUUGGUCAACAGACUAGAUCGAUUAGUGAACCUCCGGAAACUGGGACUCACAUGCCCCACAAACUCUUUGAAAGCAGUAGCUAAGUGGAUCAAGCAGCUGCCUAAUCUUCAAUCACUGAAGCUGAGAUCAAUAGAUGAGUUUGGUAAACCAUCAAAUCUCGAGGUGACAUCCAUGGCUCAACAUUGCAACCUAUGCAAUUUGUAUUAGCUUGGUUCGUUGCCUAUCCCUGCCAGCCAGCUUUCCAGGGUGCUCCCAUCAUACCUCAGGAAACUCACAUUGUCCAUGUUCAAACUGGAGGAAGAUCCAAUGCCAAUGCUGGGGCAGCUGCAAGACCUGAGCAUCCUUAGGCUUUUUGAUGAUUCGUAUGUGGGACCUUGGAUGCCACGUCAGCAGCGGAUUCCAUAAUUUACGCAUAUUGAAACUGUGGAUGCUUGACAAACUUGAGCACUGGACCGUGCAGGACAGGGCUAUGCCUCUCCUUCAAGAACUAGAAAUCAGGCGAUGUAACCAAUUGGACAGGUCAGAUGGACUUCAGCAUUUGUAGAGAAAGUCAGGAGGAGCAGUGGGAAUGACAUGUUUUUCGAAGUGAAUAAUUGGAUAUUCUCUCAUUAUCAGCCAAAAUUCUCUUACCUUCGACUUUCAAAUUGCUUACGCUCGAUGUUAGAAAAUGCUUAGUCAUCGUCUGCAUUUUUGUUCUUGGAGGUCUGCAUUUCCCCCCUCUCAAGCCAAAUGUAGAUUCAAGAAUCAGUUAGGAAUGUAAAGGGUGCACCUUUCAGGAUCAUUUUCUACUGAAUCAUCAAGCUAUACUCCAACCAAUCUUCACGUGCGGGGUAAAUCAAUCAUCAAGGACUCAACUGUUCAAGACGAAACUUAGUCUGCAGAUAUAAAUGUCCAUCUCUUGGCAGAAAAGCAUGCUAUAUGAGGCCAAAAAGCUAAGUUUUCAGAGCCGUUCACUUCCGGGAUGUGGUCCCAUUUUAUGAAGGAUCUCCCUAACUGAGGAGAUGUGUCAGAGUGGCAAGAGCCUUGUCUUAGUGCCAAGUGAGUUGAGUGUGCCUCGGCGAGUUUGAGAGUUUGCUCGUGAUCCGUAUAGAGUGAACUCAAUUAAGAGUGUCAUGUACCUGAGAUUAUUAUUGUAAUAAAAUUUUAGUAACCAAUCUACAAGAAUCAUCCAUCAAGAUACUGAGUCUUAGUGUGAUGGCAACUUUUUGAAAUGUUAUCACCGCUGUUUAAUAUUGAAGCCAUGACCAAAACUCAAGUGUGAAACAAAAAGGAAAAUCGGAGGGCAGUCCACAAGGGGAAGGAAAAUAUACAUCUGGUUCUCUGCGUUGUUGCUGAUGGAUAUUGCAAUCACGAUCUGAGGUUCUCUUUUUUCUCAAGCUCAAAUCUUCUAUGCUAAUUGUAAGUAGUAGGACAUAAAUAUUAAUGAUCAUAAGUGUAUUGCCACAUGCAAUUUAAGGAAAUACAAAUUUCAACACUAGCAGAUGGGUUUUGUACUGCAAAAUUAUAAUCGUGGGUCAGCCUCUAAUUCUUCCACCACCUAUGUUGACUUAAGCAAAAUUAUAGUCGUGUUGCUUUCACUUUAGCAUCCUUUUCAGAUAUUUAUUGGUCUCUUCUCAGCAUUUAAUAAAAUGACCUUCCGCCAUUAACCAGCACAGGUCUGUUCACCUCUUGCAUUAUUGUUGCUCUUCAGACUCUUGACUUCUGCCUCCCAACAAUGUUCCUUCCUGCAUAGGAAAAUUACGAUGGCAUCCGUUUCUUGGUUCAGGGUUUUCCAGUUUAGGCUUCGAACGUCAACUGCUGUCUCGUCCUUUCAGGAAAUAACCCUCCACUGGUCCAAGUAAAGCUACAUUAGCUGGUGGGAAUCCAUAGGAAGGUAAGGUCACUGACUUUUUCCCUUUUAUUUUUCCUCUGUUCAAAGUCAAGUAAGAUGAUGGAUGAAAAAGGUUAGUGUCUCGGCUUGGCAAAUACUUAAACUUGGGGAAGCUAAACACAGUUGAAUGAUCCAAACUUCUCGUCUUUUAUGCAUUUGCUUGUUAUUUUCAUCAGGUAGGAGCUUGCACUAAUGGAGAUAACAGAGGAGAUAAAAACAUCAAAGGCUCUGUUUGACGUAGAUUUGAGGAAAAUCUGGAAGGAGUGGGAGCUGAGAGCCAUGGUUCUGUUCACACUUGGUGUCCAAAUAGUCCUCCUCCUUCUGGGCAACAGAAGGAAGUCCAGCCCCACGGUUAGGCUCAGAGUCCUUGUUUGGUGUGCCUAUUUGACUUCAGACUAUGUAGCAACCGUCGCUCUCGGUGUCCUCUCGAGAAAGCUGGGAGAGGUGAAUGGAACAUCUGGCCAUCUUGACGAUAACAGCAAGCUAGCUGCUUUGUGGGCUUUGUGGGCACCAUUGCUUUUGCUCCUCCUGGGCGGCCCUGACACCAUCACUGCUUAUUCCUUGGAAGACAAUGCACUUUGGCUCAGACAUCUUCUUGCCCUAGGUGUUCAAGCAGGAGCAACAGCUUAUGUUCUGUUCAUGGCCUGGACAAGCUCUUCUCUGUCGGUUUUGUCACUUGUGAUGAUCUUGGUUGGGCUAAUCAAGUAUGGUGAGAGGACAUGGGUCCAGUGGCUGGCAAGCAAGGAUAAGCUCAGAGAAUCUAUGCUCAGUCCACCUGAUCCCAGCCCUAACUACCCCAGAUUCAUGGCGGAGUAUAGCCUAAAGCAGGCUGAGGGGUACCACGUCACCGCUGAUGAAGUAAUUGAAGUUCAAGUCCCAGCCACUCCUUAUGUGACAGGCGAUCUGAUAAUUAAGGCCGAUGAAUUGCUUCAAAAAUUUAAGUGUCUCUUCAUUGAUCUGAUACUAAGUUAUGACGACCGGGACAUGAGUCGGUCCAUAUUCAAGGGUAUCUCAUGGAAUGACGCUUUUCAACUGAUAGAGAUCGAACUUGGGUUCAUGUAUGAUUUGCUCUACACGAAGGCCAUGCUUUUGUAUAGUGUUUGGGGAUUCCUACGCCGAUUCAUUACUUUCUCCCUCACUCUCCUUGUGCUUGCAUUCUUUUCUCUCACUGAGAAGUACGCAAACUGCUCACCAGUCGACCUUUAUAUAACUUACGCAUUGCUGGCCGUCAUCAUUAUUUUCGAAAUUUACUCCAUCUUGAUACUCCUGUCCUCGGACUGGACAGACGUGUGGUUGAGUAAGCAUAACAAGAGCCGUGCCCUUCACCGUGCUGUGACUUGUGUCCAGUUGCCCAGACAGCCUCGGUGGUCGAAUUCCAUUGCUCAGUUCAGCUUGCUAGAGUUCUGUAUCAAUGAAAAUCCCUUGGUCUGCCAUGGAAUUCUCAAGCGCUUAAACAUCAAUGAGAAGCUGGAUAAGUAUCACUACACGACCUCUGAAAAUGUAGAGCCCAAGCUUAAAAAAAAGAUCUUUGAACGUGUGAAGGAGAAGUCUGAAAAACUUGAAAUGCCCACGGAUCCAGGCCAAAUUGGCAGAGAACAUACAGAUGAAAUUUGGGGCACCGAGGCAGAGUUCGACCAAAUUAUCCUCACUUUGCACAUUGCGACCGAACUUUGCUUCUACUCGGAGAAAGUAAAAGAGUCGGGGUUUCCCAAUUACAAACUAAGCAAGCACCUUUCACGGUACAUGCUUUAUCUUUUAGUCAGGUAUCCCUUCACGUUGCCUAACGGAAUCGGGCAAAUCAGGAUCCGGGACACAUUUGCCGAGGCCAUAAAGUUCUUCGAAGAGCAAGCCCAUUCCAAACCCAAACCUGAAGAGAGACGCGGUGCCUCCAGCGCAGACCGCAGAAGCCAAAAAGCUCUUGAGUUAGCUUGCAAUAUGUUGCUAAAAGUGAACACCGAGGUUCCACCGACUAAGGUUAAGGGUGGCAGGAGCAAAUCGGUGUUGUUCGAUGGAUGCCGGCUCGUGAGGGUGCUAAAUAAAGAGGACAGAACAAAAAAGUGGGAGAUUAUCUGGAAUCUUUGGGUGGAUGUAUUGUUGUACGCAGCAAGACAAAGUAGAGGGGAUUGCCACGCUGAUCAGCUGAGGAGAGGAGGAGAGCUUCUCACUCAUGUUUGGCUCCUGCUCGCGCAUUUCGGGCUGACCGAUCACUUCAAGAUGACUCAAGGCCAUGCAAUAGCAAAGCUUAUAUUAAUAUAGGAAUUUUACGAAGAUCAUUAUGCAUCUUCUGAUGUUGUGUGUUUACUUUUGAAUGGAGUGUUGCAUCACUUUGAGUGACUAAAUCAUCUUUGUAGAUUUUCUGGGGAGGCCUAAUCCCGUUUAAAACCUGCAUAAGUUUUCCAUUAGUUUUGGUUUACUGCUUCUUGAGGUAUCUCAUUUUUUUCUCAGGUCCAUUAGGAACAGUUUCGAAUCUGACGCGGGCUACUCGAAUAAUGUCAGUUUCCUACGAGUAAUUUGUUCAAAAAAGUCUUUUAGGCAACAAAAAGCUUCCAACUUUUGCCCCAAGCAGAAGUUUUAAUGUGCCCAAAUCUUCAUAAUUCUCUCCCGAAAACCUGAAUGCUCAGAGAACCUUAACUCACGAUGUACAUCCUCCUUGCUUAUAAAUGGCACAUUACAUUUCCUACUUCUUAACGAAAAGAAUGCUUUAUCAACCGGGAAAAAAAAACGUUGCACAUUACAUGCAAAAUAGACAUAUGUAUAAUUCCUAUCAACUAUUUUAAAAAUUUAAGCGGUUAGAUGAAGGCAUGUUUUAAUAUUUAAAAACUUUGACACUCUUCCUUUAUGAUAUAGGCUAGAUUUUGACCUAAGAUUAAAACGUGUAAAUAAGAACGUAAAAAAAAUCUGAAUUCGGAAUCUCAUGAUUUUAUAUCAUGUGGAUAUUUAUAGAACUAGUGCCUACUAAACUCUCUAAUUAAGCUGUUAAAUAAAAAUUUCAGUGUUUUAUAUUUGGAUACUAGAAAAUAUAGUGCCACAUCUCAUAGAUAACAAAAGACAUAACUACAAUUAGGACGAGAAAACUACAAAUGGUAAGAAGUGUGGCAUUUGAACUCUGAACUAAUUUUUUUUUUCUUAAAAGAAGAGUUUCCAGGAAUGGGAUUCCUUUUACAGUUGCAAGGAUCAUUAAAUAGACGAGCCAUUUGAGCUAUUAUUAUCUCUUUUCUUCCAAUUUUGUAGUAGAAUUGUACCCAAGCAAAGGAAUUUUCCAUUACAUUCUGUUUGAUUGAGCUAAUUCCACAUAGUGACUUCAUAUCAGUUCAUUUUUUCCCUUUUCGUCAUCCAAAUUGAUUCAGGUCAUCACUCCUAUUAGAUGAAGAAGUCCUCUUCAUCAAGGACACUAAGUGUUAAAUAGAUAUGUAUGAAUCUCGCAACAUAUCUUAAUAGUCGAUGAAAUAACAAGUGGUGAGUUACGUAUCAUGUCAUGAUGACCAAAAUUAACAUAUUUUACAUCAAAAUUUAGCCAAAAAAAAAAAAAAAAGAAGCUAGAGGGAGUAACAAGUUGUACAAAUCAUUCUAUAGGUUAAGGUAGACCACUUCUUAUGAAUCAAUUUAUUGUAUUUGUUUAAAUUUCACAGUCCACAUGACUCGUACCUUGAAAAUAACACAAAUCUGCAAGAGAUCGAAUUGAAUCGAAAGCUUGAAUUUACUAAAUAAGAUCAUAGAAUAAAAUUAAAAAAUGGGUCCAGCUUGCAAAAUUUAUCUUGUUACCUCAGUCGACACGAUGGUGGAAUUUUCAGUAGUAAGAGGGAAAAUGACAAAUAGCCUGAAGUAUAGUUCAGUGUGUCACGUGAAUUGGCCCUUGCAGCAUGAAUCACGUUUCUAAUAAAAGCAAACCUCGGAAAUCAAACCGACCAAACAAUCAAAGCUGGCGCACAUGUGAAUUGGCCCCUGCGAGUCGUCGCUUUGCUUUUCAGGUCAAGGUCAAUGUCAGGCUUGCACAGAUGGUCUUGUCGAGGAUUCUUUAGUAAAGAGAGGGAGAUAAUGAAUGUCUCAGGCCCACAUUUUGGAAUCCAAUGCUUUUGUCAAUUGCAUCUGAUGGUUGGACAAGGAAUGGCACUGAAUAUAUCUUUAUCUCAAACUAAAGGAUCAAAGAAAGUUGCUCUUCUUUAGAGAAUUAAAAUCAAGAGCAAUAGUGAUCGAAAUCCUACUUUAAUUUUUCUAAUGUUAUUUGAUUGAGAUCAGGUAUGGCUGGAAAACAAAAAAAAAUAUAUCAAUGGAUCUUUUUAAGUUUUCUUAACUACUACCGCAUGGUAUGUCUAGGUUAAUAAACUAUAUAUUUAAGUAUUGAGCUGAUAAUUACUGUUACUAUUAGUGGAUAACUUUUUUUUUUCUGAUUAAUACAAAGAAUAGUGAGAAAAAAAGCUAUGAUACUAUAGUUGGAUAUGUGGGGUUUGUAUCAUUUCUUAUACAUUUCAUAAUUAUCCUUUCAAAAUAAAGUUCAAAACUCAGGCCACCUAGUGGAUAUCUUAUGGUUACCAACCACAUCCAUAAGUAACCAUUGAAGUUCUCCUAGAUUGGUUCUUUCUUUUCUCUUUAGAUAUAACGACAUAUAAUUAUAGCACGUGUUUCAAUACUAGUGACGAGAUACAAUAACAUGAUUAAACGAAAUUUCAUCAAAGUUCCAUCCUAUAUGCUAUGUACCAUUUCUCUAAAUAACAUAUAAUAAUGAAUUCAAUUAAAGCAAAUAAUAGCAUGGAUAACAACAGGAGUUAAUGGUGGCUACAAUGACCAACAAGAAUUAAAUUCAAGACAGAUAUGUCAUCCCAAUGCAUAGGCUCUUCCCUCGGCCAUCAUAAUAGAACUGCAUUUUAGUCUUCAAACCUCAUCAAAAUGGGCAUUAAAGACUCAAAGGUCUCGGUAUUAGUUUAGUUCUUUCAUCCAUAUGACCCAUUUAGAGUGGCAAGUGGAGAGUAUACUUAUUUCACUAAGAAACUAAGAAGCAACAUAUCACCUUAUCAAAGAUUUAUUCCUAUACUUUAAGUGACAUUAGGCCUAGAGAACAAAAAAGUUUACAAGAACAUGAUGGCAGAGAAUAUGAAGAUUUUUAAGGGGAAGUUCACUGUGAUUUGGUUGAAACAAUUCCUUGCCUUUUAUAAAUGAAGGCAAGAGCAUUAUAGGAAUUAUAUUAGACCUUAAGUGGCCGAUACUAAGACCCUUUUUCAAUAAGACAUCAUAAGAAUAGAUUCCAUUAUAUAAAUUAGAUAGUUAUAAAGUGACGGUGGCACAGAAGGUGGGAUGAUUUAUGCAUAUUAUUGGAAAUCAUAAAGCACGUAUAUUGACAAUCUGGUAAGAUUCCUUUGCUUCUUGACUGGUUCAUGCUACAUGUUCAUAUUAGGGUGCAUAUCUGAUUAGAGUCCUUGUCUGAGUCACUGUUUAUGCUACAAGUUUCUUCACAUUUUUGUCUAAAGUCCCAAGGAUCUUGAGAGAAAUAAAUUAUUUAUGGUUGAUUACGCUUGUAUUCUUCUAGAAACUGGAAGAUUAGUCUUUGGUGGCCUAAUGUGCUUUGAAAUAAUCCCACGGCAUUUCUUCUUUCAUAUGCACCAAGGAAGAGGAAAUUUGGAGUAGUUUGAUUUCUUUUGCAAAGGAUGCGUUGGACUUCUCUGUGUUCUCCACUAAUAUCUCAAAAAUUGCGCCAAAAGACUAGUACAAAUUUGCCACAAGACAUGGACAACCUAUUGACUUGCCGGUCCUCUAGUGAACAAUUUCCAAUCUUUGUGAAAGAAAAUGGUAGUGUGAUCUUAAGGACUCGAACUCUGCAUUUUGGCUAUGUGGAGAACACAUAUUGCCAGUACUAUAAAGAAUAAAACCACUUUAAUACCCGGAAAAGUGCUCGAGGUGAUAAUUUCUGGAAUCCUUCAUUUAGAAAAGUAGUGGGGAUGUGGUAGAGAAUGGUUAAGUGAAACUUGUUUCCAAUGAUAUACUUAUAAAACAAAUACCAAUAGACAAUACCUAUUAUAGAUUUUGUUAGGUGUUGGAACAUGAAGACAAAGAUGGAUCAAGACGAGUGCAUAAGAUCAUGUUUGUAACUACUUAACUGUAAGACAUGUCUAUGAAGCUAUUUGUAGGUUCAAACUCGUAAGUAAUUGCUAUUGGUGGGUCAUAAAAACCUACAUUGUAAUCUUUAUAAAAGUCUCCUAAUCAUUCAUGGAAUAUCUGUUAUCUUUUCUUGCAAAUUUAUCUUUAUACUUUUCUUUCUUGCAAAUUAUCUUUCCAACACUUUAAAUUUCCAAUAGUCGCAUUAAAAUUCUUUAAUUUCCUUCCUUGUCCAAAAUCAACAAAUUUUCCUUUCACAACUUUUAUUAUUCAAUCCACCAUAUCAAAUAUUAAAAGAUUAUUUGCUUUUUCAGUGAAUUAGUAAAACACAAGAAUAAAUGUUGGUAAAUCGAUAAAGCAGUCGGUGAACUUUAAAAUAUAAAAAAUCUAGGUACUUUCUAAAUCAAGCAAGAUAAAAGUUGUUCAUCGACUAAAAUUAAUUGGUAUCUUAAAGUGACGAAUGUUGGUUCUUCAGUCAAAUUAAGGUUUUUAAUUUCAAUAAAAGUUAGUAACUUCAAAGGCAUAGGUGAACUCUCAAAAUAAAUGCUCGUACAUUAUUUAAAUAGUUGGUAAUCUUGCAAGUAUAAAGAAAUGUUGAUAGUUUGCAAAACCAAGCAAGAUAAAAUGUUGCUAAAUUAUUAAAAUUAAUUGGUAUCUUAAUAUGAUGAAUGCUGGUACAUAAGUCAAAUUAAAGUUGGUAAGUCCUAAUAAAAGCUAGUAACUUCCAUGGUGAUGGUAAGCCAUAAAAAGUAAUGUUGGUAGAUUAUUAAAAUAGUAGGUAAUCUUUUGAGUAUGAACAUGUGUUAGUAUUUGUCCAAACUUGUCAGUAAGUAACUCAAGUGUGACUGACUUAAUAAGUUAUUUGUCACUUAUCUAUUAUCAAUGGGAUUUAACAUUUACCAACACUAUCAAUGAUACACAUACAUGGAACUAGAUCGCUUUUGAACUCCAUGAAAUGUCGUAAUUGUCUCAACGACUUAACAUGAAGUUGAAGUUUUUAUUUAUUUUUUAAAUAAAGAAAAUAGGAAACUAUAGAGAAAUGAACAAGAUUGCAAUAUGAUAACGUGAAUCACGAGCACUUCUGUGAUACCCCAUAUGCAUUGUAUAAUAUUAUGACGUGCCAUCACAAUCAAUUACAAAAAUGGUGUAUCACAUCGGGAAAUUGAUUUACAACCUUAUUAUAAUCGUUGUGAUCGAGUGUUAAAACAAUUGCAAUAAAUUGAGAAUAUGGUACGUUAACGUACCCUGUAAAUUCAAGUGGACCCAAUCAUUAAAGCGCUCAGGGCAUUGAAAUCGGACGUACAUAUGACUUGGCCAUCCAAGUCUUGCUUUGCUUUUAGGGAUGGCGCCAAGGCUUCUUUUGUAAUGGGAAAGAGAGAAUUUGUUGUCAUAAGGCCCACUUCUUAGAAAUUAAAAGCUGCCGACAAAUAAAUAAAUUAAAAGCUGCUUUUGGGUUGCUUGGACAAUGAUGGCACUGAACAAUCUUCGUUCCCAUCUCGAGGAAAUUAUGGUCCUGAGACAAAGUAAGUUGCUUUAUUCGGGAGCGGAAAAAAGUUGGAAAUCAGGUACAUUGCUCCUAGAGGUUUUACUUUGAUCUUUCUUUCAUUUUCCAAGCUCAAGGAGAUUUUAUAUAUAUAUACUUUAUAUUAAAAUUCUGGCAGUUUUUCAAUAUACUUGUUAUAGUUCAUCUCUCAAAAUUUUUCUUUGAAGAGGGGGUUGGAAUUAAGGUUAAUUUAUCUUAUAUUAAGUAAACUUGGAAGGUGCGGGUCAUUUUUUUAGAUUAAGUAAACUUGAAAGACAAGAAAUACGGUAUAUAUAAUAUAUAGUCUCAACAAGAUGACUGCACGAAUCUUAUUUUAGAAUAGGGCGUGUAGAUAAGAAUAUUAAGCCUAAGGUAGAAUCAACAUCCUUUUGAACCAACUUUCCUUUCAUUCCUGUGGCACUGAGAGCUUCCUCUAGAAACUCGGGAAACGAGUUUGGUAGGGAGUGAAUUCAUCUUCUCACAUAAUCAAAGGACAUUUUUUUUUUGGUCAAAUUAACAUGGGUAUCUGAGCCUUGCAGCUCAACUUAUCCUCAUGAAUACACACAAAUCGUCCAUUCACAUGUAUCAAGUAAAACUUCACCCAUAAAAAGCUAAGCAUAGCUUCCAAGGUUAAUAUGAAUGAAUUACAACAAUCUAUUUAAUCCAAAUCAAGUCCAUCUAAGAAGCAUCUUUUCAUGUCGUGUCGGACACUUCAAUGCAUGUCCGAUAUUCGGUUAACACAACACCUAGUCAAUUUUUUCAACACUCUCCAACACGUGAGUCAGAAUUCCGACAUGUGAGUUCUGAAUUUCUAACACGUGAUUCUGAUAUAUACAAGAUCAAUUUUUAAAAAAUUUCAAUAAAUGGAAGUUCAAAAUGUAAAUAUGUAAAUAAAUAAAUAAAUAAUUGGAAAAGAAGAAAAGUCUAACCUUCUGUUCACCCCCCAAGUUUAUUUUUCUCUUCUCUUUCGACACUCUUUGACACACGAGUUGAAAAUGUGGAUUGCUUGUUUUUUUCUCUUAUUAUUGAAGUGGAGUUGAAUUUGUUAAAUUAAAACAAUGAAUGGUAUUGACAAAUUGUGGAUUAAUAUUUUUAAUGUAAAUUCAUUCUAGGCUAUUUUUUAUUAUUUAUUUAUUUAUGAAUUUGAAUCAAAUUAAUUUGAUUUUAUAAAAAUAACUUAUCAUGUAUAUAUAAUAAUACACAUUUAAUAUACAACAUAUCACAACGUGUCAGAAUUCUUUAUUUUUUGAGAAACGAUAUAUCACCGUGUCGUGUCGUGUCGUAUCGUAUCGUGUGUCAUGUGUUGAUACUUGUGCUACUUAACCAUCCACUUUAGGGUUGAACAAACCAAAAGUUUCAAGCUAUCUUUUGUUUAAAAAAAAAAAAAACAGCCCCAUAAACUCAAGAAAAACAAGAAAUAACAUGCCUCACAAGUUAUAGCGUGAGCAAUUGACAAGAAUGUACACAUAUUUAUUGGUACCCACAAACAUACGCGAGUCGCGUGGCUGUUUUUUCCUUUUGAACAUAAGAAACGAACAGCCGAAGCCACCACACCUUCCAACUUCAGUUUUUGGGUUGAAAAGCAACACCUUUGACGACUAGCCCCUGUUUCCAAUUAUUGCUGCACUCGGAUAUAUGAAAUGUGAUUUCUCCAAUAUUUUCGGACGACGUCUUGAAUUCGCCCAUCAAAAUGUUUGUCCACUUUCCUUGGGGCAUAUGCUGCAAACUCUCCAUGUGGCCCAGACUCGACUUAUCCGGUAAAGUAAUGUUGAUGUUCACAGGAACACCCCAACCCUGACUUGACUCAGUCAUUGAUGCCACCAACGAGACUUUAUACUCAGUCUUCGGAGAGAGCACGAUCGUUCGGAACUUCCCACUGAUUUCCAGUGAGCAAACACUUCUCAGUUCAGCUUCCUCAACAUCCACACUGUGAAAAUUGAAGUUCAAUGUUUGGGGUUGGACUUUUGCAGAAGAAAAUUCGCUAAUGUGUGCAUUCCGCCAUCAAAUCAGACGAUGAAAUGAAAGAAAAGAUAAAUAGAUACAUGUGAGUUGCUUCAAUAGAUCGUAGUGCUGAUCAUAUUUGCAUAUGAAGUGCACGCCGGAUCGAAGCGACAAUUGUGUUGCAAGUAGAAUAAAAUAGUAAGGAAUGAGAUCCACGCACGAAACGAAAUAUUAAAUGGGAUCUGAAGAACACAUAAUGGGGCUCUAAUACUACAUUAGCAUGUUCAAGCCAAAAACUUGAACCAAUGGGUAGAAGGAGACUGUGUACGUAAAAUUCAUCAUAACCUAAAAUAAAGCGAUUCAAGAAAUUUACCUUAACAAUUUAUUUGGUUUUGCUAUAGUCAUUUUCACCUUAGUGAAAUAAGUUUUGGGUUUGACACUUAGUUGGUCAUCAUUCCCAUUGAAGUCACCUUUGUCAAGAUGCACUAAUAAGAUGUUAGCAAUAUAGAAUCUCUAAUGGCAUUAUUGAUGUCUUAGGAGGAAUAAUCAUUAUAUCUACUCGGUUCAUUGAUUCGAUUGUUUGAACUUUCAAACUUAGUGAGUUUAACUAGGAAUGUUGAUAAGUCUAGAAUUGGAACUCCUUGACCCUAUUUUCUCUAGAAUGAGAUAUAUUGGUCUUAGGACGCUUCCUAACGAUCUUCAUAACUUAUAGGGUUGUCUCCCUACAUCCAGUGCAGUACCAAGCUAAUCUUUAGAAUGAACACCAAAUAGACAAACUAAAACACUAAUUACUAAUUGCACAACAGGAGGGACUAUGCGUUUAUCAACUGAUCUCCUUAUCAUUCAACAAAAUAUGGAGAAUGUAUUAGUAACGCUUACAUGCUUAAAAGGCUAGUUGGAAGGGAAUAAGAGCAAGAGACAUCAUGAAAAGGUACUUGACAGUUGAAAUUGUUCGUAUAAUUUGCAUCUCAGCCAUCUCGACUUGGCAUUUUUAACGAGGUGUAGCGUCACUCUAUUACUCUAGACUGGAAGAAUUAAAAUCUUGGUUCCUUGAUCAUCUCAAAAUGGUGGAUAGAUUCUAAAAGGGUACCUUGAUCCGUCAUGCUUAGAAUGGCAUCUCUAACAAUUAAGCAUUAAAGGAAUAUGUGUUGAGAUUCUAUUGAGGGUGUGGAUUGGUGCUCACUAAAAGGUUAGAAUAUCAGGGUCCCUCUCGACACUCCAUCACUGGUUAAAAGGCGAAAAUGAUAAUAGCUUGUAUAUGAUACUGCCACGAGUAGUUAACUUGAUGUGCCUCUGAAUUUUCUUCUACAAGUGCAUUGACCAAUUACCAGAACUGAAACAUCCAUACUUUUCAAUUAGAGUCUAUGUACUUCUUAUUUUGCACAGGUUGUGUACAGAUGAGCAUUAGUUAUUCAAAUGACGCAGGGAGGAGCUAGAAACGAACUACUAGUCAUUGCAGCCGAUGGCCUGAAUGCGCACAAGAGGUGAACUCGCUUCAUUUUGUCCAGGAUAAAUAAAAUUCGAUAACAGCAAGGAAAUCAUUUUUUUUCCUUCUUCAGCAGAUUUUUUCCAUAAGUAAUGAUGAUCUCAUUUUCUUUGUUCUUUUUUUUUAUUAUUUUUUUUUAAUAAAUAUUCACUCUUACCCGGACUCUUUGACGGUCUUCCAUUCCCAGUACUGGGGCUCGUGGCCCCAUGUUAUUGCAAGCUCCCUCGCAAACACCAUGAAGCAAUUCUUGUUCAGAUCCCUAUCGACCCAGUACUUCUGCAAGGAUGAAAUUUCGUAUUCAUUUCUACAUUUCCAGCAUAUAUCAAAGUCCAUAUAAAAUCGUGACAGAGAGAGAGAGAGAGGCUCACUCUCUUCCUCUCUUUCAGAACCACUCCAUUGUAGAGCUGAUCGCAGAGCUUGUCGAGAGAGGAAGUUUCAAUGCGCACGACAGAAUCUUUCACGAUGGCCACGUAAUUGUGCGGAGGUCUUCUUACUCUUGCCUCCACUGUUUGCUUAUGCUUCUUCUGUGAGCCCAUCUCUUUGGCUUCUUCCUGGAUCUCAGCUUCAGCUUCCAUGUCAGGAGGUGGCCAAUGUUGCUCCUGUUAAGGGUGGAGAGAGAGAGAGAGAGAG